GACGGAGGGGGCAAGCGUUGCUCGGAAUCACUGGGCGUAAAGGGCGCGUAGGCGGGAUGGCAAGUCAGUCGUGAAAUCUCUCGGCUCAACCGAGAAACGUCGGCUGAUACUGCCGUUCUUGAGGGAUGCAGAGGAGACUGGAAUUCCCGGUGUAGCGGUGAAAUGCGUAGAUAUCUGGAGGAACACCGGUGGCGAAGGCGGCAUCCUGGGACCGGGCAUUGACGCUGAGGA
rnacentral:rRNA from 1 species